AAUUGGUAAACGAACCUAACAAUUUUGAUAUGCGACGGAUGUGCUAACGGGUUGAAAGACCAUCACUUUACCUGAAAGGGUCGGACGUUCGAUGGAAUCGGAGUUUAAUGUCUCCAAGAUCUGCCUUUGGGACCACCUUCUGUCCCUCUCAGUUUUCACUCUUUCUCUUUCUCUCUCGUGUCUCUCCUUUGUAUCUCCUCUUGUAUCUCUCCCUCUAUUUUUGACUAAUUCCUUCGCAUUUAUUUCGUGUCAGCGACGAGGAAGUUUCCCACGGUCGCCGCUAACACGGAACUAACGGGCUUCCGUUAGGAAUGACGAAUUCUUACUUCUCGAUGAAUAUUCUCGUCAUUUAUUUAGCUUCCGUUCCCACGGUCCGACUCCCAUGGUUACAAAUUAGAGACGAUUUCCACCCCGUUAUAUUGAUAUUUAAUC
rnacentral:lncRNA from 1 species